GACGAACGCUGGCGGCGUGCUUAACACAUGCAAGUCGAACGGAAAGGCCCUGCUUUUGUGGGGUGCUCGAGUGGCGAACGGGUGAGUAACACGUGAGUAACCUGCCCUUGACUUUGGGAUAACUUCAGGAAACUGGGGCUAAUACCGGAUAGGAGCUCCUGCUGCAUGGUGGGGGUUGGAAAGUUUCGGCGGUUGGGGAUGGACUCGCGGCUUAUCAGCUUGUUGGUGGGGUAGUGGCUUACCAAGGCUUUGACGGGUAGCCGGCCUGAGAGGGUGACCGGCCACAUUGGGACUGAGAUACGGCCCAGACUCCUACGGGGGGCAGAAGUGGGGAAUAUUGCACAAUGGGCGGAAGCCUGAUGCAGCAACGCCGCGUGGGGGAUGACGGCCUUCGGGUUGUAAACCGCUUUCGCCUGUGACGAAGCGGGAGGGACGGUAAUGGGUAAAGAAGCACCGGCUAACUACGU
rnacentral:rRNA from 1 species